AGAAACAGAAGCAGUGGCAGCCAUGCAGAGCCUGCUUCCCUUUCCACCGCUGUGACAUGCCCAGGGCAUGGGAAACCCCCCGCCUUUGUCAACACACAAAGGGAAGUGACGCCGGCUGCUCCAACAGGGAGAACAAGGGUUCCAGAAGGAUGGUCCUUCAGGAGGAAGGAGCACGCAAAGUCCCCAAAACAAGUACAAGUUGCAGAACUUGAGGCUGGAGAGAUGGCUCGGUGGUUACGAGCACUUGCUGCUCUUCCAGAGGACCCGAGAUCAAUCCACAGCACCCACACAUCAGGAGGUUCGCCAUAGCUCAGAACUCCAACUCCAGGCAACCAGAUGCUUUCUUCUGGCCUCUGAGGAUAUCUGCACUAAGCCCAGGCCACCAUGUUCAGGCUCCAUGAAGCCAGAGAGUCCUACCCACUAUCUUGCCAUCUCCUUGCCACUCCAUCUCAGAACUCAUCAGGGUCUCACUAUGUAGCGCUGGAUAACCUUGAAUCCACACAGAUGCACCCACCUGUGCCUCCUGAGUGCUGGGAUUAAAGGUGUGCAUGCUACCAUGCCCAACCAGAACAACUCUUGAGCCAUCGAUAGGAGCUGCAGUUUUCUAAAGGGUGUGUGUGGGAGUGCCAACACUAGGGGGUGCCAGAGGCCGCUGCUGCUCUGGGGAGGUUCCAGGGCCAAGUGGCGUAUAGACUCCAGGCCAAGCUUGUGGCUAUAGCUAAGGGGCUGACUGCUUUACUGGCAUUUCGGGUGUUAGAAAAGGAU